UCAAAAUUUGAUUUAAGUUUCAUUAGUUAAUAAAUAAUUUUUUUAUAUGAAAAUUUUUAAGUUUUAGCAUUUUAAAUAAAUUAAGUUUCAGUAAAAAAUUUUAAAUAUUAAAGAAAUUUAGAUUUAGAAAUUUAUUAAGUAUAAACAAAAUUUGUGCCAGCAGUUGCGGUUAUACAAAUUAUAUAAUUAACUAAGAUUUAUUUAUAAAUAUUAUUUUUAUUAAAAAUAAAAUUUGGAGUUAUUAGGUGAAAUUUUAAUUUUAAUUAAUUUUAAAUUAAAAUUAUAAUUUAUGAAAUUUUUAUAUUAAACUAGGAUUAGAUACCCUAUUAUUUAAAAUUUAAAUUAAAAAAUAAAUUAGUAUUAGUUAAGUUCUUGAAAAUUAAAAAAUUUGGCGGUAUUUUAAUCUUUUCAGAGGAAUCUGUUCUGUAAUUGAUAUUCCACGAAUAAAUUUACUUAUAUUAAUAAAUUUGUAUAUCAUCGUAAUAGAAUAUUUUUUUAGAAGUAUAAUAUUUAAGAUUUAAAAUAUUAAAAUAAAUCAGAUCAAGGUACAGUGUAUAUAUAAGAUGAAAUGGAUUACAAUAAAAAUAUUUAAAUGGUUUAUAAAUUAAAAAUUUAUAGUUAAAGUGGAUUUGAAAGUAAUAAAAUUUAAUUUGAUUUUAUGAUUUUAGCUCUAAAAUAUGCACAUAUCGCCCGUCACUCUCAAAUAAAUUGAGAUAAGUCGUAACAAAGUAGAUGUACUGGAAAGUGUAUCUAGGGUGAC
rnacentral:ncRNA from 1 species